rnacentral:rRNA from 1 species
AAAUUGAAGAGUUUGAUCAUGGCUCAGAUUGAACGCUGGCGGCAGGCCUAACACAUGCAAGUCGAACGGUAACAGGAAGCAGCUUGCUGCUUUGCUGACGAGUGGCGGACGGGUGAGUAAUGUCUGGGAAACUGCCUGAUGGAGGGGGAUAACUACUGGAAACGGUAGCUAAUACCGCAUAACGUCGCAAGACCAAAGAGGGGGACCUUAGGGCCUCUUGCCACCGAAUGUGCCCAGAUGGGAUUAGCUAGUAGGUGGGGUAAAGGCUCACCUAGGCGACGAUCCCUAGCGG